rnacentral:piRNA from 2 species
UCCUGGUGGAAGUAGGUACCAAAGUUGGCC